rnacentral:lncRNA from 1 species
CCUCUGGCGUCAAAAAUCAGAAACCGAGCGCCAAAACGCAAUAUUAUUGGUCGUUUCGGUCGAAUUUCAUCAUCAUUCAUCAUUUCUAGACAGACCCUGUGGACAGACCAUUGACGAUGUAAAAUAUUUGCCGGUUGCCUCUCCAGAAUUUUUAAGGAAAAGUGCCAUUUUCUUGUAUAUUGUGCUCGGAAAUCAUGUGUAGUGCAUAGCUGGACUCUUAGAGAGGAUUAUGCCAGAAAGUAUCCAGGGUUACGGAUAUCCAAGAACCACACUGGCAGUGAAGAAGGAGAUGACGAAUAUCAACAUAGCAACAGAUCUUCAAGUUGCAAAGAAACCAGGCUGCCUUUGGAUGGAAUGGACCAAGGAUCGGUAUGGGUCUGGACACGUCAUAUAGCUCAGGUCGUACCUGAGCUCGGGCGCUGUAUCCAGACGUGCUGCACUCCGGGAGUGAAUGUGCGCCUUUACACAUUUUGCUCGGUACAAUCGCGGGUAGGGCCCAGCUGGACUCGAGAGAUGAUCGCAAUCGAAUGGGGACACACAAUCGUAAUUACCAAACUACACUUACUUUACCCAUGCAGACGGCUCAUGGAAUGCUAUCACGUGAAAAUCCAUCAAUGCUCCCAGCUAGUAAGCGUGCGGUUUAAUGUCUCUACUAUCAGGCUCUAAAGACAUGACCGCUGAGUUCGUGUUAGAUUAACCCGUCGUUUUACCUAGUCUGGGUUCAAUAUCACAAGUGUCACUCUUUUUCUCUAACGCAAAUAAAACUCUAUAAUAAAUGUUUAUAGACUUUUAUCCAUGAAAACAGAGAUUUUCAUCUCUACAUUAAUGUCACUUUAACAGAAUCUUUCACAUGAAGUAUCUAAUAAAUGCCAGUACUUUUUAGUGCUAGUAUUUUAAUAUAAUAAACACGAGUACUUUUUAGUGCUCGUAUUUUUCUCAAAUCGAUAGACACAAAAAAGCAGCGUUGCGGGGUGGUUGCGAUGCAAUCUGUAAGCUGUGGGGACUGCCGCGAGGGGCCAGUCUCGGAGGCCUGGGACUGUUUCGCCCUGGAUUCGUUCGCAUAUUAUUACAGCCCCGGUAACAGGCCGGGGUUCCCAGGUGCUCGUUGCGUUGUAGUCUGCCAGUGGGUAUGAUAUUCGACCGCUCCAUUACCGGGCGUAAGCUUAUAUCAUGCUAUGCAGGCUAUCCCAUGGGGCCGGGUUGUUGUCCUAAACGUAAAGGGUGUCUGGGGAGUGGGGCUCAGCUCAAUUAGAGGACUAGGAGGCUUGUAAAUGGGUGCAGUGGGUUGGGAUCAUCUGGCACUCUUGGACCGGAAAGGGCAGGUAAACGCUGGUCCUUGAGUGGUGGGAAUGUGGCAGAAGACGUUACGUUAAAUUGUCCGAUCGGAACGUCAUAAAACUAUGUGGUUAUUCUCAGCCUCCGAUGUCGUACUAGCGCCUUGCUAGUUAUAACCACCAAUAUAUAAAGCUUUUACUAGUUAAAGACUUUAUAUUUUCACUUCUCCUCUUAAAACUGAAAAACGCAGGCAUAUAAACUUGUUUUCCGGGUUGCCUCGUUACUCGAAAAUAAAAACAGUCGUCGAAUGGUUUUUCUCGACGACACCGUCAUCUUCUUAAUCUGAUUCUUUUUAAGCUGGGUCGCCCUGUAGCCCGGUGAUUUUUGGUCUGGCCAGGGUUCCAAGGAACAAAUGUCCUCAGGAAUGGAGGAUCAAGCUGGUAUCGGAGGGUCGAGGCUUGGCCAAGAUUCCGUAAAGGUUCGAAUUGACUGGAACAACACCCACCGUGCCUUUGGGUCUCUCCGGUGUUUUGGUCUGUCCAUUUAA